UACGUAGGGUGCAAGCGUUGUCCGGAAUUAUUGGGCGUAAAGAGCUCGUAGGCGGUUUGUCGCGUCUGCUGUGAAACCCGAGGCUCAACCUCGGGCCUGCAGUCGAUACGGGCAAACUAGAGUACUGCAGGGGAGACUGGAAUUCCUGGUGUAGCGGUGAAAUGCGCAGAUAUCAGGAGGAACACCGGUGGCGGAAGGCGGGUCUCUGGGCAGUAACUGACGCUGGAGGAGCGAAAGCGUGGGGAGCGAAGCAGG
rnacentral:rRNA from 1 species